rnacentral:rRNA from 1 species
CGUAGGGCGCAAGCGUUGUCCGGAAUUAUUGGGCGUAAAGAGCUCGUAGGCGGCUUGUCACGUCGGGUGUGAAAGCCCGGGGCUUAACCCCGGGUCUGCAUUCGAUACGGGCUAGCUAGAGUGUGGUAGGGGAGAUCGGAAUUCCUGGUGUAGCGGUGAAAUGCGCAGAUAUCGGGAGGAACACCGGUGGCGAAGGCGGAUCUCUGGGCCAUUACUGACGCUGAGGAGCGAAAGCGUGGGGAGCGAACAGGAUUAGAUACCCUGGUAGUCCACGCCGUAAACGGUGGGAACUAGGUGUUGGCGACAUUCCACGUCGUCGGUGCCGCAGCUAACGCAUUAAGUUCCCCGCCUGGGGAGUACGGCCGCAAGGCUA